rnacentral:lncRNA from 10 species
GUUCUCUCCUCCCUACGGUGUCAGUUGGCUACUUUAGCCUUCACCACCCAGCGCAUGCUGCUUGGUAAUCACUGAGUUGGCUGGACUGUCUUCUCUGAAUGUGGUCAUGAUGGCUGAGGAUAGAGGUGGAACAGGUGCCAUGCUGCUAUCACAAGACGGAGACCACAUACUCUAAGAAUGCUGAACAGAAAAAUAAAAGGAGUCUGAGUCCCUGAUGACAUAAUAGAGCUACCAUAACCACCAUGGAUAUUGUCUAGGUGCUUUGUAAUAUAAAAAGAGUAAACCCUCUAAUUGGUUCAACCACUGUGUUUGCAUGUUAUUUACUGCAUGCAGUCAAACUCAAAUCCCGAUUGUU